CAGUCGAACGAAGCAUUAAGAGGAAGUUUUCGGAUGGAAUCUUAAUUGACUGAGUGGCGGACGGGUGAGUAACGCGUGGAUAACCUGCCUCAUACAGGGGGAUAACAGUUAGAAAUAGCUGCUAAUACCGCAUAAGCGCACAGCUUCGCAUGAAGCGGUGUGAAAAACUCCGGUGGUAUGAGAUGGAUCCGCGUCUGAUUAGCUAGUUGGUAAGGUAACGGCUUACCAAGGCGACGAUCAGUAGCCGACCUGAGAGGGUGACCGGCCACAUUGGGACUGAGACACGGCCCAAACUCCUACGGGAGGCAGCAGUGGGGAAUAUUGCACAAUGGGGGAAACCCUGAUGCAGCGACGCCGCGUGAGUGAAGAAGUAUUUCGGUAUGUAAAGCUCUAUCAGCAGGGAAGAUAAUGACGGUACCUGACUAAGAAGCCCCGGCUAACUACGUGCCAGCAGCCGCGGUAAUACGUAGGGGGCAAGCGUUAUCCGGAAUCACUGGGCGUAAAGGGUGCGUAGGUGGUUUUGUAAGUCUGAGGUAAAAGGUCACGGCUCAACCGUGGUAAGCCUUGGAAACUGCAAAACUUGAAUGCAGGAGAGGAAAGUGGAAUUCCUAGUGUAGCGGUGAAAUGCGUAGAUAUGUGGAGGAAUACCGAUGGCGAAGGCAGCCCCCUGGGAUAAUACUGACGCUCAGACACGAAAGCGUGGGGAGCAAACAGGAUUAGAUACCCUGGUAGUCCACGCCCUAAACGAUGUCAACUAGCUGUUGGGGCCGUU
rnacentral:rRNA from 1 species